rnacentral:rRNA from 1 species
AAACUAACAAGGAUUCCCCUAGUAGCGGCGAGCGAAGCGGGAAGAGCUCAAAUUUGUAAUCUGGCGCUUUCAGCGUCCGAGUUGUAAUCUCUAGAAAUGUUUUCCGCGUUGCACCGCACACAAGUCUGUUGGAAUACAGCGGCACAGUGGUGAGACCCCCGUUCAUGGUGCGGAUGCGCAAUGCUUUGUGAUACAUUUUCGAAGAGUCGAGUUGUUUGGGAAUGCAGCUCAAAUUGGGUGGUAAAUUCCAUCUAAAGCUAAAUAUUGGCGAGAGACCGAUAGCGAACAAGUACCGUGAGGGAAAGAUGAAAAGCACUUUGGAAAGAGAGUUAACAGUACGUGAAAUUGUUGGAAGGGAAACGCUUGAAGUCAGACUUGCUGUUCGGAGUUCAGCCGCAAGGUGUACUCUCCGAGUUGCAGGCCAGCAUCAGUUUUUCGGGGUGGAAAAUCACGGUUUGAAGGUAGCAGUUUCGGCUGUGUUAUAGCUUUCCGUUGGAUACAUCCUGGGGGACUGAGGAACGCAGUGUGCUUUUAGCAGGGGUUUCGACCUCUUCACACUUAGGAUGCUGGUGA